UGGGGAAUUUUGGACAAUGGGCGAAAGCCUGAUCCAGCAAUGCCGCGUGUGUGAAGAAGGCCUUCGGGUUGUAAAGCACUUUUGUCCGGAAAGAAAUCCUUGGCUCUAAUACAGUCGGGGGAUGACGGUACCGGAAGAAUAAGCACCGGCUAACUACGUGCCAGCAGCCGCGGUAAUACGUAGGGUGCAAGCGUUAAUCGGAAUUACUGGGCGUAAAGCGUGCGCAGGCGGUUUGCUAAGACCGAUGUGAAAUCCCCGGGCUCAACCUGGGAACUGCAUUUGAAACUGGCAAGCUAGAGUCUCGUAGAGGGGGGAUAGAAUUCCAGGUGUAGCGGUGAAAUGCGUAGAGAUGUGGAGGAAGUACCGAUGGCGAAGGCAGCCCCCUGGGCCAAUANUGACGCUCAUGCACGAAAGCGUGGGGAGCAAACAGGAUUAGAUACCCUGGUAGUCCACGCCCUAAACGAUG
rnacentral:rRNA from 1 species